rnacentral:snRNA from 1 species
GUGCUCACUUCGGCAGCACAUAUAUUAAAACUGGAAAGAUACAGAGAAGAUUAGCACAAGGAUGACAUGCAAAUUUGUGAAGAGUUCCAUAUUUUU